CCUACGGGUGGCUGCAGUGAGGAAUAUUGGUCAAUGGCCGAGAGGCUGAACCAGCCAAGUCGCGUGAGGGAAGACGGCCCUACGGGUUGUAAACCUCUUUUGUCGGGGAGCAAAGCGAACCACGUGUGGUUCAUUGAGAGUACCCGAAGAAAAAGCAUCGGCUAACUCCGUGCCAGCAGCCGCGGUAAUACGGAGGAUCCGAGCGUUAUCCGGAUUUAUUGGGUUUAAAGGGAGCGUAGAUGGGUUGUUAAGUCAGUUGUGAAAGUUUGCGGCUCAACCGUAAAAUUGCAAUUGAUACUGGCAGUCUUGAGUACAGUUGAGGUAGGCGGAAUUCGUGGUGUAGCGGUGAAAUGCUUAGAUAUCACGAAGAACUCCGAUUGCGAAGGCAGCUUACUAAACUGCCACUGACAUUGAUGCUCGAAAGUGUGGGUAUCAAACAGGAUUAGAUACCCCUGUAGUC
rnacentral:rRNA from 1 species